rnacentral:lncRNA from 1 species
UUAUGCCUUUCUGUUCUCGUAUUGGCAUCCUUGGUGAUAUUUAGCGCCCUCUGAUUAUUCCGCACAUUUGAUGGUGCUACAUAGCCUUCCCGGUUUGGUGCCUUCUUUUGAUAAUUACUUACUUAAUUGGAACUUACAUCUUUUUAACCCCCUUAGAUGUUCUAUUGCUGACUCUGACAUAUCUGUAUGUCAGUGUUAUAAAGAGCUUUAUUUAUGAUAUCCCAUAGUAUAAAGAGAACGAUGAUGUUCCAUUAGAUGUGAAGACUGCUGAAGAACAAAUAUAUUGGAAAGUACUCCUCUGGCGAAGAGUACUCUUCCCAUCCUAUUUUUUACUGUAUCAAAUCAUAGUUAUGAUGCAAAAAGUUUAUACAUAUAUAAUUGCAUUCUCUUUAUUUGAGAUUUGUCAUGUUAUGUACAUAACGUAAUACUAUACUGCAUAUAAAGAAAACUUCAAAUUGAGACUUCACUUCGGCCUCUAUGAUUGAGGAAAGAUAUUCAGGUUUUGUAAGGUGACACACAAAUGGUUGAGGAACCCUGUUCCUGGUGAGGAAGCUAGGUUUUCUGCAAUGCAUGCGAGAACAGUUGUGAACUUAAUUUGAUGACAAAAAUAAUAAUAAUUAUAAAGUUUAUUUAUACAAAAUACAUUUGAAACAUAACAGUGGAGUAUUAUGUAUACAAUGGUAUAAUACAGUGGGGGUAUUAUGUAUACAUGUAUAAUAGUGGAAUAAUAUGUAUAUAUAGGAAUACAAUAUAAAUUAUAUAAAGCCACUAAUAUGCAGCUGAAAAAUUAUCCAGAAAAUCAUAAAUGGGGUAAAUCAUUGGUAUGAGUUACUGAUGUCUGAAUGCGUUGUAUACUGUAGUUGACUAUAGGUUUUCUGCAAUGCAUGCGAGAACAGUUGUGAACUUAAUUUGAUGACAAAAAUAAUAAUAAUUAUAAAGUUUAUUUAUACAAAAUACAUUUGAAACAUAACAGUGGAGUAUUAUGUAUACAAUGGUAUAAUACAGUGGGGGUAUUAUGUAUACAUGUAUAAUAGUGGAAUAAUAUGUAUAUAUAGGAAUACAAUAUAAAUUAUAUAAAGCCACUAAUAUGCAGCUGAAAAAUUAUCCAGAAAAUCAUAAAUGGGGUAAAUCAUUGGUAUGAGUUACUGAUGUCUGAAUGCAAUGUAUACUGUAGUUGACUAUAGAUAUAUGAAUAUAUCCAUGUGACUUUUAUUAUUUAACUAAAGUACUGUAGGUAGGUAGGUAGGCAUCCUGCAGGCUCGGGAGACUAUGGAGUUACACUCGGGAUGUCGAGGCUGAAGUGUCCUCUCCAGAGCGCAAAGCCAGAGUAGGUCGAUAUGGAGGAGAGGCUGUUACCCAUGCAGUAAUAAAGUACUGUACUAUAUUACUUAACAGUCAGAAAUAUAUUGCCCACAUUGUGUCUAUUUACUCUAGGUCCAUCGAAACGUUGUCAGAUGUGGAGGGUUUGCCACUAUAGCAAAUGACUUUUAUUUGUGUAUGUAGUGUCGCAUAUUCAGGUUAAAUGUGAAGUGGUUCAUAUGACAUUAUGGGUUUUAUCUAGUCAACUUGCAUACAUCAGUAACAUAGAUGUUGUGGUUUAAAGUAUAUCUUACUUCUUAUUUUAUUACAAAGUUUAAGGGUUAUGUGUAUGAUAUUAUUAACACAUUAUUUAGAAUUACGUAUUCCGAUAUUGGUAAUAUUUGAUAUUAAGGAUAUAAUAAUAAUAAAAAGAGCAACUGAUUGGUGAAGAAUUGCCUCAUUAUGUCAAGUACUUUGUGGAUGUACGGAAAAUUGCUCCUUUGUGUCCAGUAGUUGUUGGAAAUACAGUGUAACAAAUUACUUAUAAUGUUCAGUGCUCACUACAGCUGAGGACUAGAAUUUUAAGUAAACUGCUGGUGAUAAUAGAAUCGAAAUAAUUGUUAUAUAAAUAAUACUGUAUAGUAAUUUCAUGUGAAUUACAGUACUUAUUAUGUUUAGCAAAAAUUUAUGGCAAGUACAGUUACAGUACAGUACCUGUUGAUUUUCUAAUUGAUAUAUCACGAUAAUGUGAUUUCUCUGUGUACAGUACUUGCAAUAUUUACAAGUGAGGUUAGUAUUAUGUGCCUGUGAUUAUAAUGAAUAUCAGAUAUUUCUUGUGGGUUGUGUCAACUGGUGGUGAGACUUGUUCACAUUUUUAUCGAUGGCUCACAUUUCUCAAGGAAAAUAAGAGUUUAUAUCUGUGCCAGUAAUGAUGAGCAGCAUGCAAGAUACAGCCAUAUUGUCUGGGUGGCCUUACCUAACAGGCAUAUAUGUUGUGGCGAGAAUGUCACAAUAAUGUGGCUGGGUUGGGAUAUUUAUACAUGUGCUGUGCUGCUUCUGUUACAAUGUGAUAUACAUACCGUGUAUGAAAUAUUAUGCAUGUGAUUUCAAAAUUGAAACAUUACUUAAUGUCAUCCAUAUUGUUUUGGAUAUAUCGUAAAUGCAAUAUUGUACUCUAUUUCAAAUUGUCGUCCAGAUGCCUGUGUUAAAAUCUGCAAAUGAAAUUUAUACAAGGAAAUGCUCAAUUUUGACUGACCAAUAAUGUUAUGUUUGCUGGAUGUUAAACAUGUGUUUUAUACUGUAUCACCAUGCACAAUGUUGACAAUGAUAUUUGUUUUAUUUUGGAUGAAACAUACUUAAUACAUUAAAUAUUUGAAAUGAACUGAUGUGUUAAAAAAAUUCUAGUCACGUUCUUGUCACCACAUAAAAUACUCUUAAAACUGAGGUGUAGACACAGAACAUUAUUCUAUACAAUAAUAAUACAGUACUAAUAAUAAUAAUAAUAAUAGUUUACUGUACUGGGUACAUUACAGUACUGUACUUAUAAAAAUACAUGAUUUAGAUAUUUGCCUGAAAUGUUGCACAUGAUUAGUGGCUUUAAUACAAAUAGAGAUAAUUACAGUAUAAUCACUAUAAUAAGAUGACUUGUACAAAAAUGUAACUCUCAACAUACAAAAUGUGCCACAGGCACCCACAAUAUGGAGGGAUCCCAGAGACACCCAACUGGAACUUCAGGCAUUUCAUUGGGUACCACUUGACCGUGAAGGUAUUAGGUGAUGCUCUUCCUAGUCAUAUAAAUUGCUAACCACCUUUCAGGUCACCUGUAACACAAACAAGUAGCAAUGGUUUCAAGUUCAAUAAGUCAUAAUGUUGGACUGAAAACAGGAGAUGCUUUUUCACCCAUAGGGUUAUAAACCCAUGAAACAGCCUACCCGCCGAAGCCGUAAAACAAUGCUGAAUCUCAAAGCCCAGCUCGAUAAAAUCAUCAGGACAAAUUUUAUGGGGGGACCUUUGACAAGACACCAACUUACUGUCCUUGUUUAGGUCACUAGAUAGUGGUCCUCAGGUAAAUUCAGGUUUGAUUAUUAUAAUCAAACCUGACUAUAAUCAUCAUCAUCCAAGUGCAACAUUUUGGGCAAACUUGAAGAUUAAUGUGCUUUGUUGGAGAUAAUAUAUUUGAGGGUAAUACCAUUUAAAUGCAUGUGUUCACAUUUUGGUAACCAGCAGUAAAUUGUGCUCUUGCUGGUGUUAAUGAAGGUUCCAAGCACCAUUAUUCUCCGAGCUACCUCUGUUAGGAAAGAUAAUUUUCUAAGAAUUCUGUUAACUUAUCCUGCCUGGGGCACUUUUAAUCACUUUGUUUAUGAGCAAAGAAUGUCACAAUAAUGUGACUUGUUAAGGGUCUAGGAUGGACCCAAAAUGUUGUCACUUUUAUUUUAUUUCAUAAGUAUGGGCUGAAUUUAAUUACCGUAUUUGUUUACUUUUGGGCUGAUCAUUUGAAUUCACAUUCAAAUGUCUGGUCAUUCCAUGUUCAAUUUUCUUUGUACCUGUACCAGGUUACAAGUGACUUGCAGUGGUAGAUCUUGUAUUAUUGCAUCUGAGAAACGUACUCCAAGCUCUUAAAAAGAUAGAAAGUGUAUGAGUAUUAAAGGAAUUAGUAAUAUCAUAAUAAUUCUGAACUAAUAGUAAGUCUUCAGCUUUUAGUUUACAGUAAUCUUUGCUAGAAGAUAGUUUCAAGCACAUAUAUGCCCACUGAGAAUGGUCAUCAAGUUGCUUACUGUAAUAAUCUUUGAUGGCUAAAAAGCUUCAUAUCACAUUUUAAAAAUUCUGAUUUUUGUAUAAUUUAUCAUUACUGUGAUUGUGUGUAGCCUUAUUACAGAAACCUUUAUCUACUGUAUCCAGCUCUACUGUAUCAGCUGAGUGGUGAUGUGUGAUGCCUUGUAGUUAAACCUAUGUUUGUGCAGUAGUAAUGUGCACUGAUAUUUUCACUAAAGCAGUAAGACAAUUACCUACAGAUUCUUACUUUGUAUACAGCUGCCAAUUAUAAAAUAGAGUAUCUAAACUGAAUACGUUUAUGAUAAUUGUGUACGUUAUAUACAUGGCCCAGGAGAGGAAUGGUAUCAUUAAACCACCUGUACCCCCUUAAUCAGUAUAGAUAAAAGUAUAAUUAAGAUUAUAUAUUUUUUAUGAAGCAGUAAUUAAAAUGAGCUCAAAGUAUUAAAACUUGAUUUGUGUUUUUUGUUGUGCGCAAAAACCCAACACGAGGAUCUCCUUCCUACCUUGGGCCGAGGCUGUUGUGUUUUGAUGACCCUCUCUUCUCCCGGGCCUUGUAUAUACAGUGGAGGUAAAUACAGUAUACUGUAUCUAUCUGCUAAUCAUAUCAACAUGCAGAUUUUCUUUUGCUUAUUUUAUCAGUAUUGAUGUUGCCCCCUCGGACAAAUGUGGCCAAAUAACUUCACUGUAACAAUGAAUCAGCAUUGAAAACGUUGAUCCGAAGUUGAUAAAAUGUUACUGGAAAAUGUUAGGCCGCUGGGUUGGUAUCUUUGUCAAUAAGCGCUGCAGAGAUCCAGUCGUUUAGUGACACAUGUGUUUGAACCACUACUUCACGUGUGAGAAUUAGCUAAUACUGUAAUGUAAAUAAUGUAGACAAUGUGGAAAAACUAAGGGUGUAGAUUCACUGUGAUUUAGUAUUGUAAUGUGGCCUAGAACCCUGCAGUUCCAGAGAUAUUUCUCUGCUUAGAGAUCAGAGAUAGCAAAAGUUAUUUGUAAUUUAGGAUAAAGUUAGGUUAUACACUGAUAAAGUUUAUAGGUAUAUUGCUAGUUUCUUGCCUUUGUUCUUCAGCACUCUGCAUGCCUUAGUGGCAUGUACAGUACAUAACUAGCCAUUUGUCCAUGCUGUUCCAAUAUAAUUUUAAUCAUUGCUUUUAUGAGAUUAAUUUUAAAGCACUAAUGCUUCACUUUGCCAUGCAGUAAUAUGAGUAACAACAGUGAGAUAGAUAUUAAUGCUAUCAGAAGUCAAGUAUUAAACUUGCAUGCUAGAGUAAAACUAUAUACUAUAUACUGUCAAGCAUAGUCCUGCUAGAAUUCUGAGCUCAUUUGUAUUUAACAUUGGCACUGUGCUUAGGAAAUCGAAAGAAUUGUAUACUUAAGUAUUAUGCCUUUUAGCUGACAAAGGCACAAGCAUAGUGACAUAGCCAGUUGUGUAUGUAACAUAUUGUAGUUAUGUUAGGAAGUUGACCAGCUGGCCUUGGUCACCCAGAUGAAAACUACAGUUAAAAUAUAAAAUUGAUCACUCCCUCACCACAGUUGUUGUUUUCUCUGGCAACACUGGUACUACAGUACCUCUCAGGGGUCUGCUGCGGCUUCUGCACAUCCCCAUAUCUUGCCCUUCUCUCAAUACUUUACACCUCUCUUAUUUUUCUCUGCUCUUUACUAUCUGAUUUGCUGUGUCUUUUCCUUUACUUUCCACUUCUUUUCAUAUGUUUGCUAAAUUCAUCUCCAUAUAUUAUGCUUGCUUGUGUUUCUUAUUUCAAAGAAAUGGUAACUGCUUCACUUGUAAUAGUCAAUUGAUCUAUCAUUUGAAAUCCUUUAGCAAUUAUUUUAAUUGAUCAGUCAAUAAUUUUUGUUUUAAUCCUUGAACAGCAGUUAUUGUCAUUUGUUGAUUCAUAGGUUAAUGCGGUAAUCAUCAUAUGGAAAUUUACAAAAUUAUUGUCUGUUUUACGUGUAUGGAUGCAAAUACAGUAUGGAUAUAAUAGGCCUAUGUGGAUGCAAAGGUGUUUACGUUGACCCAUGAAAGAAUUCUGCUACCAUGUCAUGGCACAAAUUAGGUUAUUGUCAUGAAUGUUACUUAGCAAAUGCGGUCAUCAUCAUGAAUGAUUGAAACAAUUAUUGUCUGGGUUUUAAUUAAAUAUGAUGCAAAUACUGUAUGGAUAUAAAAGCUCUCUGGAUAUAAAUAAAGAAAAAUAAGUGAUAAAAUAAUCAGUGAAACAUCGGAGAAUAAAGCAGGAAGUGUCAUCAUAGUUGAGCACCAGGCGCUGACAAGUACCAAACGCAGCCUUGUAGAGCACUUCCAUCCAGUGAAACGUUAAAGAUUCACUUAUUUUCAUGUUUUUCUUACAUUAUGCAAACAAAUUAAUAACUAUAAUGAAAAAUUAUUAUUUUUUUUUUUUGCAAGUACAGUACAGGUGGCGCCUCGAUUAACGAAUGUAAUCCGUUCCGUUACCUAGCUCGUAAUGUGGAAAACUUGUCUUGCGAAACAACAACACUGUCGGAGGAGGUGUCCGAGAACCAGUGGGAAUGCUCGUUAUCAAUCGAAAGCUCGUCAGUCGAGACAAAUUUUCUACGAGUAGUUUGCACGUUACUCAAAAUACUCGUAACUAGAGUCGCUCGUCACUCGAAGUUCCACUGUAUUGUACUACUGUAUAGCAUUUCUUUAUAGCCGCUGUAUAAUGGUUAAACAAAUUGUUUUUAUGCCCCUAUUUAUGCACAGUGUUCCAGGAAAGUCUUAAAGCUAUAACAGAAGAGAAUGUCCCAAAGGAAAGCAAGCAUUAGAAAUAUGGAGAAAGCAGAUGUUUAUCGUGCAAAAACAAAUCUUUAGGUAGGUUAUCAUUGCCUUUGUGAAAGGCUUGAUCCUGUUCCUUCUAAAUCAUAUUUUGACACCCACGGUGGACACUUUCCAACACUCGUGUUUCAAUGUGUUCUUUCAUGAAAAAAAUAAAAAAAUGGAAAUCUCAACACACUGUUUAUACUGUAUUAUAUAAGAAUCUCAGAUUUGCAGCAGGUUGCCACCUGGUUUAUAGUUUUACAUUUUAAGUUGAUAACUGAACUCGGAAGUAGAUAAGGCAAGAUAAUUAUCAGGAGAAAGCACUUAGCUAGUAUAAUUUUAUAGCACUUGGAACGGAUACGAGGACAACAAGCCGCUGUAGACACAUCUUAAAGUAGAAUAUCCAAAAUUAUUCUUCUUUUUAAAGAUUAGUCUUUAAAUAUGAUGACUAUAUACUGAACAUAUAAUGUUCAUUUAACCCUUCAAAUGAAAUGGUAGUCCUUAAUAUAAUAGUUCCUUUGGAUGACUAAAAAUUUUGAAUGGUGAUUAUAUAAUGAAUUACUACCCAGUUUCAGACACAACAUUUAGGAUUAUUAACUGGACUUGUAAUGGCUUCAUUAACUUUAUAUUUUUGUUGUUGUGUAGACAUUAUAAUUUAUUGAGUACAGGGCAUUAGCCAUUUUUAUACUAUGAAAUUACUUUUGAAAAUAAUGUUUUAAUGCAUGAUUAGUUCAAUGACAGUAACUUGUAAGUUUAAUGUUGUUCUGUAAGUUCCUUAGUACUGUACAAGCAUUUAAUUUCUUUUGUACAAGAAAUUAAAUUUAUGAAUCUACUACCCUAGAAUUCCCGACAUAAAUUUAAUCCAAAAUUAUAAUGCUUACCCCUGCACCCAGAUUCUCUCAGGCAUCUGUAGAAAACCAUGCACAGUACUUUACCACUUACAAGGAGUUGUUGAUAGAAUUAACCAGACAGCCCAGAUGCAGGGAAAUAUGAAUUGCUGAACUCUAAACUGUGACCUGCAUGUUGAAUCAAUGAAAGAUCAGGUUUAAGUAACUUAGGUUAUGCUGACCAUUGCCAUAACUUACCUGGUUUUAAUAACAAUGCCAGUUUUUAGUGUGAAGCAAAGUUCUUGCUGUAUACUAGUAACUGAAUAUUCUUCACAGAACAUUCAGUGCUGUGUAAAUUAUCAUUAUUUCAAACAGAGUACAUAAGGCCUUGGCCUAUAUGUGUGUUUAUGUUAAAUUAAGUACUGUACAAGUCAGUGCCCUGCACUUAAUAGUGUGAUAAGGUCACUCCUUUGUUUGGACCGAAAACUUGUGAUAAUUCUUUGCGUCAAGCUGGAUAAUAACAGAUUUAUAUUUUAACUUGUACAAAGAUUAUAAAGCAGUCUAUAUAGUCUUGUUAUUAUGUGAAUUUUAUUUUUAACUUAGGAUAAAAAACAUGAAUAUCCAGGUACAUAAACGAAAAGUAAUAAGCCUUCCAUGUCCAUAUUCAUAGAUGGUACUGCUAUAGGGUGAACAGGAUUCAGAGACAUGCUAGUUUUGUCAACUUGAUCCCAUCCUCCUGAAUAUCUUGUACCAGUUGGACAGUCACUGACCCGAUGUGCUCUAGGUCCGUUGUCCAAAGUUUUUGCUGCCCACACAAAGUUGACCUGUGUACAACUGGAAUAAAAGACUAUAGUUUGAA